UGUGGGGUGUUUCAGUGAUAGACGAUCUGCUUGGCACGCAGAAGGCCUCAGGUUCGAUCCCCGGGCCCCCCCAG
rnacentral:tRNA from 1 species